CACGGGGCGAGCAUCCUUGUGAAUGAGGCGGAGGCAGGAACCUGCGUGUGGCUCGCCUGCCCCCCCCCCCCCACCCAGAGGGCCUCGGCUCCCCCCCUCCAUGGGCGCUCUCCUUUGGGGACAAGCCCCGUGCGGAAUGCCGCGGGGGUCGCUCCCAAGCCCAGCACGCGCGGGCUGUCUCUUGGUGUCCCUGAAGUCUGGCGUGCCCGGCGGCCGCCGCAGAAAAACACAAGCCGGCCGCGGCUCCGUUGUCUGAAUCCCUUAAAAGGGGUGGGGAGUAGGCGCGGACCGUUGCUUUUCCAUGCAGGACCGCCCUCUCCCUCCAAGCGCAGAAGCUGUGGCCGUCCUCGCCUUCCUCCCGGCUGUUGCAUGCUCGACCAAGGAGGCAACUUGGCAUACGAAACGAAGCCCAACACCUGCUGCUUCCCCCCCCCCCCUCUAGGUUUUCAGUGCUUAAACCUCUCCUAAACACCCCCCGCCUCUUUCAGCCAAGGACGGGUGUUACCUGAUCCUGCAACUGUCAUUGUGGUCCGCGGAAUUUGCAAGGCUCCAGACCGCCCUCCCUCCACCCACCCAAACGGGCUGCACGGAUUCUCCCUUCUCUUCCCCCACCCGCUUCUCUUUCUCAGGGUUUUCAACGCGUACCGCAACCGCAUCGAUGCCACAGUUCUCUCUCCUUUUAAAUUCACUCCUAUUUACAUCAAAUUUACGUAAAUGAACAAGCCUCAUGGAACUCAAUGGGUCUUACUUCUGAGUAGACAUGCAUAGGAUUGGGCUAGAAGCUCAUGCUCUGGACACCUCCUGCCUUGACUACUGCAAGCCUCCUUUCUCAGACUUUCCCUUGUCGUGCAUCAAACCUCUCCCUGCCUCAGAACUCCACUGCCAAAAAUGAUAAACCUUUCUAGUCACUCAAACUAUAGGACACUAUAUUUAACCAUAUUUAAGUUCAAAUACUUAAAUUGGCUUCCCAUAUCACUUAUGUCCACAACAAACACCUUCACCUGCAGUCCUGUGAGGCUUCCUGUGUGUAUUCUUAGGUAGAUGGGGAACAACUUGCAGUAACUAGUCCUGUGUACACAGUUUCUCACCUGAAUCAAAUGGCUGGAGCUGCUUAGUGGGAAACUACCCCCCCCAAAAAAGAAGGUAUUUUCUAAUUUGACAGCAUAACAUGUUUAAAUGAGGUCUUCUAUCUUUGUAUUUUAAUUUAAACAUUUAAUAUGGGUUCAAAACCAUAUAUUACAAUGAAAUCUGCAGAAUUUUACACACAGAUGAAUGCAUUUUAUUAAAAUACUGGAACUGAAAUAUAGACUGCUUUACUUUAUGGCAAAAGACUAAUAUUUUAAAUCUUUAAUUGUCACUGUCCUCCCUACCUCCACCCUUUUUAUUCUCUGGCCUUCACAAACUUAAGGAGAAGGUGGUACAAAUUUUCUCUGUUUCCUUUCACAACAGAGCAUAAGGACAUGGAAUUUUAAAACAUGCUGUCUGUGUUAGCAUUUUAAAAAUGGUUAGGCAAUGGCAGAAUGUUUGCUUGCUCUUUGAAUACAAUAGGAUUUUUACUAUCUAACUCCUAUUUAUAUUUAUGUCUGUUGGGAUUUCAAAAACAGUUACCCUAAUAAAUGUGUUCCAGUUUUUAUUGUGCUUUGUUUUCAAGUUGUCCAAUUUGAUAUGUAAUUGAAUCCAAUAAAGCGAUCUACAUUUCA